UACGUAGGGGGCUAGCGUUGUCCGGAUUUAUUGGGCGUAAAGAGCGUGUAGGCGGCCAGGUAGGUCUGGUGUGAAAACUCGAGGCUUAACCUUGAGAUGUCAUCGGAAACCAUUUGGCUAGAGUCCGGAAGAGGAAAGUGGAAUUCCUGGUGUAGCGGUGAAAUGCGCAGAUAUCAGGAAGAACACCCGUGGCGAAAGCGGCUCUCUGGAACGGUACUGACGCUGAGACGCGAAAGCGUGGGGAGCGAACAGG
rnacentral:rRNA from 1 species